ACAUCAAUCAAGUGUCGAAUCAUUUGUCAAUCAUUUGUGUAGGAAAUAUCAAAACAGAAAUAUUAAAUAAUUAUUUAUUGAACGUUAAUUGUCGACAAUAUUAUUGCAACAACAAAAUGCCGUUAAAGGGGAAUGCACAAAUAUGGAAGUACGAAAAUUUGUGCAACGCCUACAAACGAGCUACCAAAAAAAAUCAAUAUAAGGCCAGAUUAUGUGUCAGCUCGCAACCGAAAUCAAAGAUUCCACGAAAUUACAGUCAAACAUUGCUAAGUUGAACACAAGAUAUUUGUGUUUUUGGAAUGUUCAUAUGGGAAAAUUGAAAAAUUGGAAAACUUACAUCAAUUUAAAUUCAAUUCGUUUUAGCAAAGUUUGGCAGUACAUUUUGAGAUUAAAGCACUUGACACAUUCCAUUUAUUUACUUAACAACUGGUUUUUGUAGUGUCGUGUUUCAUUUCAGCUAAAACACAAUUCACAGCUCUUUUCAAUGUUUAUGUUUUUAGUGCUUGCGUUUCAAUUUCAGGAGAAAACUUCUGUCGACAAUUCUGCAACUGGGAUUGGGAUUUGCAAAAGGUACCUUUUAUUUUAUGCCACACCGCUUGGGCAAAUAUUUGAGACCUUUUCAACAAAGAUGGUGAUGAUGAUGACGACGAUGAUGAUGAUGUUGAUGAUGAUAACGACGCACUCGUUGACAACGAAAGUGGGAUUCACUGUUCAUUCAUUUAGGCUUUUGUUUGAAGAUUUUGACGCACUUGUCGUGGGGUCUGAAUAUAUGCUCAUAUAGAGGAUUGAUGUUGUUCUCGGUAAAACAAAAAAACAGACACUCAAAGGCAACUGACACGUUUGUGCGAUAACUUUGGGAAAAUAAAUUUUUGUUUGCUUGGAGUUUCA